rnacentral:rRNA from 1 species
AGAGUUUGAUCCUGGCUCAGAACGAACGCUGGCGGCAGGCUUAACACAUGCAAGUCGAACGCCCCGCAAGGGGAGUGGCAGACGGGUGAGUAACACGUGGGAACGUGCCCUAAGGUACGGAACAACUCCGGGAAACUGGAGCUAAUACCGUAUGUGCCCGAGAGGGGAAAGAUUUAUCGCCUUGGGAUCGGCCCGCGUCUGAUUAGCUAGUUGGUAGGGUAAUGGCCUACCAAGGCUACGAUCAGUAGCUGGUCUGAGAGGAUGGCCAGCCACACUGGGACUGAGACACGGCCCAGACUCCUACGGGAGGCAGCAGUGGGGAAUAUUGGACAAUGGGCGAAAGCCUGAUCCAGCCAUGCCGCGUGAGUGAUGAAGGCCUUAGGGUUGUAAAGCUCUUUCGCCAGGGACGAUAAUGACGGUACCUGGAUAAGAAGCCCCGGCUAACUUCGUGCCAGCAGCCGCGGUAAUACGAAGGGGGCUAGCGUUGUUCGGAAUUACUGGGCGUAAAGCGUAUGUAGGCGGAUCGUUAAGUCGGGGGUGAAAUCCCGAGGCUCAACCUCGGAACUGCCUUCGAUACUGGCGAUCUUCGAGUCCGGGAGAGGUGAGUGGAACUCCGAGUGUAGAGGUGAAAUUCGUAGAUAUUCGGAAGAACACCAGUGGCGAAGGCGGCUCACUGGCCCGGUACUGACGCUGAAAUACGAAAGCGUGGGGAGCAAACAGGAUUAGAUACCCUGUAGUCCACGCUGUAAACGAUGGGUGCUAGCCGUUGGGCAGCAUGCUGUUCGGUGGCGCAGCUAACGCAUUAAGCACCCCGCCUGGGGAGUACGAUCGCAAGAUUAAAACUCAAAGGAAUUGACGG